UACGUAGGGACCAAGCGUUGUUCGGAUUUACUGGGCGUAAAGGCGCGUAGAGCGGCAAUUCAAGUCAGCUGUGAAAUCUCCGGGCUUAACUCGGAACGGUCAGCUGAUACUGCUUUGCUAGAGUGCAGAAGGGGCAAUCGGAAUUCUUGGUGUAGCGGUGAAAUGCGUAGAUAUCAAGAGGAACACCUGAGGUGAAGACGGGUUGCUGGGCUGACACUGACGCUGAGGCGCGAAAGCUAGGGUAGCAAACGGG
rnacentral:rRNA from 1 species